GCGCUGCAGGUCUCCAAGGGGACCCUGUAAUCAAACUGGAUUCGGACAAGGAGGACCAAGUGAAUUAUUGGGUCCACUAGAUUUUAAAACAAUAUACAUAUAAUAUAUUUAAUUACCAAAAGAGUGAGAAUCAACGUACCAGGAUUGAAUUGGUUUCCUUUGCCAACUUCAGCAUCCCCACGUUUUCCUCUGUAAUAAAGUAGUCAUUUUGCACCAAUUCCACACCCUGUUCAAAUCCAAUGUCUCUCAAUCCCAUUUUCCAUACUAAAUUCCCAUUAAAUUCAUAUAUUUAAGGAGUGAGUAUCCAUUUUACGAAGAAACCCUAUAUUUAUUACUGCACGUGCAAUAAUUUCUGCUCUGGCUCUGGCCACGUGCAGGCACGAGAGGGAACGAAGAACAGAGUCAAGCGGGACAAAAUGGAGAGAGAGGACGUGUAAGUGUAAACCUGUUGUCUGGCAAAUUCCUCUGCGCCAGAGAAGGC
rnacentral:misc_RNA from 1 species